rnacentral:rRNA from 1 species
CCUACGGGAGGCAGCAGUGAGGAAUAUUGGACAAUGGACGCAAGUCUGAUCCAGCCAUGCCGCGUGCAUGAAGACGGCCCUAUGAGUUGUAAACUGCUUUUGUACGGGGGUAAACGCAGAUACGCGUAUCUGUCUGAAAGUAUCGUACGAAUAAGGAUCGGCUAACUCCGUGCCAGCAGCCGCGGUAAUACGGAGGGGUCAAGCGUUAUCCGGAUUUAUUGGGUUUAAAGGGUGCGUAGGCGGUCGGAUAAGUUAGAGGUGAAAUCCCGAGGCUCAACUUGGGAAUUGCCUCUGAUACUGGUCGGCUAGAGAGUAGUAGCGGUAGGCAGAAUGUAUGGUGUAGCGGUGAAAUGCGUAGAGAUCAGACAGAACACCGAUUGCGAAGGCAGCUUACCAGACUACGUCUGACGUUGAGGCACGAAAGCGUGGGGAGCAAACAGGAUUAGAUACCCGUGUAGUC